GAUCCUGGCUCAGAAUCAACGCUGGCGGCGUGCCUCAGACAUGCAAGUCGUACGUGAAAGUCCUUCGGGAUGAGUAAAGCGGCGCACGGGUGAGUAACACGUGAGUUAUCUGCCUUUGGGUGGGGAAUACCAACCGGAAACGGUUGUUAAUACCGCAUAACGCUUGCGCUGUAAUGGCGUAUGUUAAAGCGGGGGAUCAGCAAUGACCUCGCGCCUGAAGAGGAGCUCGCGGCAGAUUAGGUAGUUGGUAAGGUAAUGGCUUACCAAGCCUGCGAUCUGUAACCGGCCUGAGAGGGCGGUCGGUCACACUGACACUGACAUACGGGUCAGACUCCUACGGGAGGCAGCAGUCGGGAAUUUUGGGCAAUGGGCGAAAGCCUGACCCAGCAACGCCGCGUGAAGGAUGAAGCAUUUCGGUGUGUAAACUUCGCAAGAAUAGGAAGAAUAAGUUUGAACAAAUAAUUCAAACGAUGACGGUACUAUUUAUAAGCUCCGGCUAACUUCGUGCCAGCAGCCGCGGUAAUACGAGGGGAGCAAGCGUUGUUCGGAUUUACUGGGCGUAAAGGGUGCGUAGGCGGCACCACAAGUCACUUGUGAAAUCUUUGGGCUUAACCCAAAGCGGCCAAGUGAUACUGUGGAGCUAGAGUGCAGAAGGGGCAACUGGAAUUCCCGGUGUAGCGGUGAAAUGCG
rnacentral:rRNA from 1 species